rnacentral:rRNA from 1 species
AGUGGCGGACGGGUGAGUAACGCGUGGGUAACCUGCCUCAUACAGGGGGAUAACAGUUAGAAAUGACUGCUAGUACCGCAUAAGACCACAGCACCGCAUGGUGCAGGGGUAAAAACUCCGGUGGUAUGAGAUGGACCCGCGUCUGAUUAGGUAGUUGGUGGGGUAACGGCCUACCAAGCCGACGAUCAGUAGCCGACCUGAGAGGGUGACCGGCCACAUUGGGACUGAGACACGGCCCAA